AAUGGUUUCGACGGGGGCAAGUUGCUCCUGGGAAGCGAGUCGAAGGGAUCCUGUACCUGCGUUAAAAAACUGGGAACUUAAAUAUAAUUGCAAACGAUAAUUUUGCAUUAGCUGCCUAAUAGUUGCAGCUCGUCAGCCUAAGAGUCCCACGACUUAGGGUCUGGCGUCGACAGUGGGGAACCGAGCCUUACAAAGCUUUGAGUAAGGAACGGAAUUAAUGAAGCUACUGAAUCUAAGAGCCUGUUUAUCGGGGCUUAGAGGAGGGAAUGUAAAAGGAUAAACUGCACUCGGAGAUGCCCAGGGGUUGCUGCUUUCGGACAGGGGUUCGAUUCA
rnacentral:tmRNA from 1 species